ACAACUUGAACCAGGCCCCCUUCCUUCUCUCCAUCUUGCCUGGCCUGGCUGAUACUCAUAAACAGCUGGCUAGACAUCAGGCACUAUGGUCAGAGUUUGCAUCAUCUUCCGAUUCCAGAGACCUUCAUCUCUCAAUCGCACCAGCCCUCACAUAGACCCCUUCUAUCAUCCUAUCACCGAUGGUUGGUCCCGGCGCCUUGGGGUGACGUGUGUGCUCCAUGAGUAAGUUCCCAUCCAGAAGAUCCAAAACAAAUACCGUUCAUCUGAAUAAGAGGAAGCUGUUUAUCGCAAACAUCUUAGGCAUGUAACAAAACUGUGCUAUGCUCCCUGGGGGAAAAUUGUGUGACAAGUAGUGCUGGUCGGAGGAGUAUGAUAUAUUGCAUCCAAUCUGGAGCUGUCAAUCAUAGCAGCAAGUAAGGCACCUAACAAGAAGAGCCUGCCCCCUUGGGCAUAAUUGGUUUCAGGCAGAAGUUGCAUGACCUAAGCACCAGGCAUUAUUACAAAAUAUUCCUAAUGGCUCAGCACUGCUCCCUUUAAAAAAAUGUUACAGUAUUUUUAAGUGGCUAAUGUGCACUAAACAGCAGACAAAAAGACACUGCAGGGAAAGGGGAAUGCGACUAUUGGUCCAGGACAUCCCUCUAAUAAAUGACAUUAUAAAGCAAUGCAGAAUGUAAACAGUUCAUGGCUCCUUACGAUUUCCUACAGUUUUCCAUUGACUGCUCCAUGACUAAUAGUACUUUUACGUCACACCACAAAGAUGUUUAGUAGAUUAGAAUUAUGUUUCCUGGGUAAUAUUAGUCUACUGUAUUACAAAGGAAUUAAACACUGGCAUGUAUUGUUUUUCCUAGACCACCAAUGCACAGAGUGUCUGUUAUGACAAUUCAAGAAGAGUACCUUCUUAGAAAUAUCGCUAGAUCUAUGCAUUUGCUCAACAAUAAACAUACACAGAUAGCUGGAACGAGGGAAAUAGUCUCAUCCUCU